AAUCAACGCUGGCGGCGUGCCUCAGACAUGCAAGUCGAACGAGAAAGUUCCCUUCGGGGGAUGAGUAAAGUGGCGCACGGGUGAGUAACACGUAGGUAAUCUACCUUCGGGUGGGGAAUAACCCAGGGAAACUUGGGCUAACACCGCAUAAUGCAGCGGCACCACAUGGUGACAGUUGUUAAAGCGGGGGAUUUUCGAACCUCGCGCCUGAAGAGGAGCCUGCGGCAGAUUAGCAGUUGGUAGGGUAACGGCUUACCAAGGCGACGAUCUGUAGCCGGCCUGAGAGGGCGGUCGGCCACACUGACACUGACAUACGGGUCAGACUCCUACGGGAGGCAGCAGUCGGGAAUUUUGGGCAAUGGGCGAAAGCCUGACCCAGCAACGCCGCGUGAAGGAUGAAAUCCUUCGGG
rnacentral:rRNA from 1 species